CCCGCUGCACUGGAAGCAAGGAGUUGUAACCACUGGACUGCCAGGGAAGUCGCACAGCUACCAUUUUAAAUGGCUGUUGUUUCCCAACUUUAGAGACAGCUGAAGAUACUUGUCCAAGGACACACAGACAGUGUGACAUGGCUGAGACUGGAAUGCAAGCGUGUCUGAUUUUAGUCCUUUUCCUUUUCAGUAUGUUGUUCUACACAUCAUGGGGGAAACAAGGGUAAAGAAAAGUCCUGCCUUGAAAGGGUUUCUUCUCUUGGCUUCUAUGCUGAUUUGUGUUUAGCUGCUGAGUAACUAUUCAGUGCUGAGUAACUAUUCCUGCAUUUAUUCAGUGCUUUGCCUAAUGGGGACCUUUCCAUUUUUGAUGUCAUGGAGAAUGUCAGAAAAAAAAAUAACGUUCUUGCUCUUUAUCUGAAGUUAGUUUAAAAAACAGAACAAAACCUACUUUAGCAGGAAAGAGUUACAUGAAGGGUUGUGGAAACAUCAUGCUAUUUCCCAGACAUCUAACGGUUUGGAGUGCUCCUCACAGGUCAUUGGGCUGACUGCCUCGGUUGGCACUGGGGAUGCCAGAAAUACAGCUGAAGCCACAGAAUAUAUCUGCAAAUUGUGUGCUUCUCUCGACACAUCAGUGGUAGCAACAAAGACAAUUUGGAGGAACUGGAGGAGAUUGUUUAUAAGCCCCAGAAGUGUAAGUGGGAUCCAGUAACAAGCCCUUUGGGACUUUGUUACUCUCUGCUAUUCUUAGUUCAGGGCCAUUUAGAUGAACCCUUAAUUUUUACCCUUCCUCUGUUUAGUGGAAAAUAUUUAACCCCAAACUUGGGAAGUAAUCACAUUUCCAGCUUCUUUCCCCAAUGAAGUUCAGGAGUGGCCUGUAGACAGCAAACAUUCUUACUCUUCAUUUCUGCAAAACCCUUAUAAAUGUACUGGCAGUGAGAGAUGGGUGCUUAGAAAAUCAUGUAGAUGGCUCAGUCCUUCCCUGCUUUCCGUGCCUGAGGCAGACACUGAGUUCCCAUUCAUCAUUUGAAUAUGUAUCUGGUAAUUUUGGUUGAAGUGAAAUUAUCUGAACUCAUAUUUUCCCUCAAAAGAUCAGAAUAUGAUUUUAUUAAUAAGAUCAACUAACAAAUGAUUCUUGAAUAUGAAUGCUAUAUUAACCCAGCAAGGGAGAUGGGUACAGAAGAUGCAUAUGAGUUCAUCCCCUUGCUCUCUGAAUAGCAUAUGACUGAAUGAGUAAAAGGCAGAACAUACAUACCUGAAAUAGUCAGGGAGCUGCUUGUAAGGAGUGUAGAGAAGGUACCCAGUCUACACCUUUUAAUAUCACAUACAAAUUUCUUUAUAGUCCAGUCCCCCCUGCCCCCUGAGUUUCAUCUCCUCUCACGACCCAUAAGCCCAACCAAGUCUCAUUCCUUGGGCUCCUCAAACAGGUCAUGUGUUAUGUUCUGUCUCUAAGCUUUGUCCAUCUGAGCAUUUGCACAUGACUGUGCUCACUCCUUCUUGCCUCUUUAUCCCACGACACUGCCUCCCCGGGAAGAAUGAGAGAGUCUUUCCCAUGCUCCAUGACACCUUGCACAUACUGUGUCACAGCACUCUGUGUGGUCAUUUGGCUGUGUAUCUUUCUCUCCCCUAAGAAGACAGACCUCUCUGGAGCACAGAGCCUGUUCUUUUCAGCUAUCACCAGAACGCGGCAUGUGGUAGGUGAUUAAUAAGUUUCUGUGGAUACAAUGCAAAAAUGAAUGUUAGGAACAUUGUGAACACUCCUGGGGGUUGGGUGGGAAGGGAGAAGAUGAAAGAACAGAGACAGGGUUUAAAAUGUGGCAUUUUCAGGAACAAGAUGAUUAUCAGACUUGUCAGAGCAGGGCCUAUGUGUUGAGUAACAGGAAAGCCUGAGUAAGAAGUUGAAUUAGACCCAGACAGUGAAAGAGAUGUUAGAAUCAGUGCAUUAAACACUAGGGAGCCACUGCAAAGUUUCUGAGUAUUUGUUUUAUCAUUCAGAUGACUUGCCUGUGAGCUUGGGGCCUAGGGUUUUACAGAGGAAGUAACAAAGGCAGAGAAAGGUUUGGAGAGGCAUGCUUUGAACUAUGAAGUGUGCUUCCUGAAAAAUACUCAUUUUCCUUUGAUGGCUCUAGUUUUCAGGAAAGUGGAAUCACGGACCACCAACAGAUUUAAAUGCAACAUAUCUCAGUUGAUGAUAGAGACAGAGUCUGGUAAAGAGUAUCUUUGAAGAACUUGGUACCAUAACUCUCGAAAACUUAUCUCAAAUUCAAAAUAGGAAUUUUGGAACACAGAGAUAUGAAGAGUGGAUUAUCGCAGUUCAGAAAGCGUGCAUGGUGUUUCAGAUGCCAAAGAUGAAGAGAGCAGGAUUUGUAAAGCACUGUUUUUCUACACAUCGCAUUUGUGGCCACAUGCUGAGAAAUCCAGAGUCUCUGGUUGUUUGCUGGCUAAUCAAGAAGAGAUACAAUGAUGCCCUCGUUAUCAAUGAGCAUGCUCGAAUGAAAGAUGCUCUGGAUUACUUAAAAGACUUCUUCAGAAAUGUCCAAGCAGAAGGAUUUGAUGAGA